UACGUAGGGUGCGAGCGUUGUCCGGAAUUAUUGGGCGUAAAGGGCUCGUAGGCGGUUUGUCGCGUCGAGAGUGAAAACACUGGGCUUAACUCAGUGCUUGCUUCCGAUACGGGCAGACUAGAGGUAUUCAGGGGAGAACGGAAUUCCUGGUGUAGCGGUGAAAUGCGCAGAUAUCAGGAGGAACACCGGUGGCGAAGGCGGUUCUCUGGGAAUGUCCUGACGCUGAGGAGCGAAAGCGUGGGGAGCGAACAGG
rnacentral:rRNA from 1 species